GAGGAAACGCAGUCACACCCUCCCACAGGUGGCGGCGGGGACACCGCGGGGACACCGCGGGGACACCGCGGGAACACGGCGGGGAUGCUGGAGCAGCACGGACCCCCGCUGUCCUCGGACUCUCACCGCUGCCUUACAUUGCACCUGUGUUCACGGUUCCACAUCAAGGAGGAAGCCAGAGGUGCUUGGUAAUGGUUGGUGUGUUACAGUUAAAGGAACCGACAAGUCGAAGGAGAAGGAAUGGACCCGGUGACCUCACACACUGAUGUAAAACUCCGCCCAUCGGUCAUGUGACACAGGCUGCAGCUCCUGCUGUUGUCUCCAGGAGCCGGGGGCCUCCAGUCAGCAGGAGCCACAGCGGAUGGAGGAGCUGCUCCUCGUUUCUUUCUUCCUCUCCCUCCGUCACUGCCAUCUGUCUGUCUCUCCGUGUCUCCCUCUGUUUGGGUGACAAAGUCAAACCCGUCUGGCUUAAAGAGGGGGAGACGCGGUGGGGGAGGAAGUAGGGGAGACUCUGCCACACUUGCCUUCUAAUGAGCAGUUGCACGGCAUGGCACCAGCUCAGGCAAAGUUGAAAAUGGACGACACAUUUCACUCGGCGGGGCCUUGAUGUGACAUCUGUACAGAGACGUGACGACGUGACGACGUGACGACGUGAGGAC